UUUCAGGUAUUUCUUUAUGGCAGUGUGAGAAUGGGCUAACACAGUAUUGAAAAGAACCAACCUCAUCCUGCUCACUAAAAUUCCCAAAGCCCAGUCAAAUGCCUGUCUUGUGGUUGAUGUGUAAUAAAUAUCUGAUGAGAGAAUGAAAGUGUUCCCAACCACAGUACCCAUGAGAAGGUAGAGCUCAGUCAUCAAUUACUGCUUGGGCUCUUACCUGCUGAGGAGCAGCUACAAAUUUAACUGGCAAACCACACUGUGGAAGCUGGAGUCAGUUUAGUCAGUCUUCUUCUCAAGCUGUAGGGAUCCUACCAGCAUCAAGGUAUAACUAGAUAAUAUCCUAGACACAGA